UUUUUUUUUUUUUUUUUUUUAAGCUCUCUGAUUUGAAGGGCCUUCUGAAAGAGAUUUCCAGUAAAAUUAAAUGAGUGGAGCAGAAAUUCAAGAGCAGCUACUGGAGCAGGGUACCAAUUCAUGAAGAAUAAUUGCUCAGAGCUGGCAGCAACCCCCAAGCAGAUGGUAACAGAGGCAUCAGAGUAUCAAUGUCUCAGCAGGAGUCAGCAGGAUUUUCUUGCAAUUUUUAUUUUUGUUGAUCAAACAGCCCUUUCUGCUUGUUGCAAGGUUGUGGUGAAACUGGAGAUGACUGCUUAUCUCCUGACAUGAUUCCUGUGUUACCCAAACUCUUCUCAUCUGCCCUAAGGUCCAGUGGCAGCAAUUAGUCCUUGUUAAGCUGCUGUUGCAAAUCACUCCUAUUUCCAAGAGUUCUGCUGCUUUUGCCAAAAUCCCUUUGCUUUUCCAUUUCACUUGGAGGGACCUGUGCGUGGCUUUCCUUCAAGCACUAAUUGCAUGUCUGAAUGAAUCAAUCUCCCUUCCUGUUCUGCCCUGUAGUAGCUGGAUCUUGCGUGUUCCUUGCACGGGCUGUCAGACCUGCUGGGGUCUGGAAUGCUGGUGUGCCAGAAUGCAGUGGAUUUCAACAUCAUCCCCCCCAAGGAAAGCCUUUGGUCCAACCCUGCAUCCCUAUUUCAGACUGUAAAGGAACAUUGUGGGACUUGUUCCCCCUCUACCCAGAACCUUUCAGCAGUGCAGAAGCUCAGCUAUUACAGCCCUGCAUGGGAGAGACAUAAAUUUAUCUAGGAACUGUUUCUAAGACUUUGUGGGCAAUCCUUCCUUGGUUUCAGUCAUGAAAAUUUGUAUUCUGGGAAUGCUGGAAUUCAUUUGACUUUUCAAAUGUGUUUGCUGAUCUUUGCAGCUGGAAAUGGAGAAGAGAUUGUUGGAACCUUUAAAUAGAGCAGUGCUUGAUAUGGUCAGGUGGCGCUUUCUGUCUAAAAUAGCAGCUGAAUUCUGUCACUUUUUUUUUUUUUUUUUUUUGGUAUAACUGAGAGCAUAGCCAACUGAAGGCACUACAAAUAGCAUUUAUUUACAUGGCAAAGCAUUGUAUCAACCUUCCUUCCCAGUGUCUUGGAAUCAUGGAAUCACAGACUCACCAGAGGAAAGGACCUGCAAGGAUCAUGGAGGCCAACCCCUGGCCCUGCACAGACACCCCAACAAUCCUAUCCUAUGCAUCCCUGAGAGCAUUGUUCAAAUGUUCCUUGGGCUCUGUCAGCCUGGGGCUGUGCCCGUUCCCUGGGGGAGUCUGGUCAGUGCCCCAGUACCAUCUGGGAGAAGAACCUUUUCCUAAAAUUCCACCUUACCCUGCCCUGACACAGCUCCAGCCGCUCCCUCAGGUGCUGUCCCUGUCACAGAGAGCAGAGAUUGGAGCUGUCCUUUGGGAGAGAGCUGCCAGCCAUGCUGAGACCUCCUCCUCUUCUCCAAGCUGAACAAGCCAAUUGACCUCAGCUGUUCCUCAUACAGCUUCCUCUCCUGGCCCCUCAUCAUCUUCAUUCCCCUCUUUGGAUACUCUCUGCAGGCCUUAUAUCCUUAUGAUACAUUCAGAGAGGUUGCUGCUCUUUUCUCCCUGCAUUUCAUCACCCAACUGUACUGUAUGCUGUGCAUGACAUCAUCCUGGGGGCUCCAGCACUAACAAUAGCAGUGGUAUUUGUUUUCAUGUGGAAAUAUUUCCUGCUGAAAAGUAAAGGAGCCAGGCUUUCACUGAUUCACAUGGCAGUUAGCUGCAUCAUAAAUUCUUGAGAUAAGGUUCCUUUCUGGAAAUUAUUUUUCCCAUAUCAUUUGUCUGCCUUGGAUGUGAAAAUUGUGCUUUUUGUUCACUCCCUUCCUAUUUAAAACCUGUGGAAUGCUUUCAACCCUUCCGGGAAAUCCCAAGGGCCUUGCCUUGGAAGAAUAUACAAUAGUCUCCACCUAGGCUUAAAGAGAAGACUUCUGCCAUGGAGCCUUGCAACACCAGGAUCCACCCCCGUUCCUUUCCCCCUGUGUCCCAAAUUCUUGCGGUAUUUCCUUUCCCUGUUUCCUCGUUGGUCCUUGGUCGUGGUAUCCCUGGUGGCUGGCCCCGUCUUCCCUGUAGGCCAAUGCCCUUUGCCCUGCCCUUUGUGCUGCCCCCGUGCCCUCAGACCAUUGGCCACUGACCCCUGCUUAACCUUGUGCAGAGCACAUGGCCAGGUCUUUGUCCCUGAUCCCUUCAGCCUGGUGGAUGCAAUAAACCUUUGCUGGAAUACAUCAUAAA